CAUUAUUCUUCUUAGGGCCUUUGCACACCACGUUUUUUAAACGCGCCGUUGACGCGCGUUUUAGAAACACGCGUCGACGGCGCGCUUUUAUCCUACAGAGCAGUUUGUUGUCGUUUGUAUCGAUACACACGCGCGUUAGCAUCGCGUUUGUAUCGCUACACACGUGGGUCUGCAACGAUUCAAACGCGUGUUAGAAUUUAUACAGGUGUGCAAAGGUCUACAGGCUGCGUCUGACUCGCGUGCGUAUCGCGACUGUAUCGCUACAAACGCGCGUCAACG